ACAUGUUUUCUGGAAUCAGCUCCAUGCUUCAGCAAUCUAUAUUUAGACUGUCUAAUCCUGUUGUGAUAAAGUGAAGCAGACAUUAGAUAGCAGGCCAUUAUUGUCUCCAAAUGACAGAUUCUUGUGAAGAUGGACCACAGAUUGAAUGUUGUCCGUCAGUCUGUUAUGUGCCAUUAUUUAUGAAUUUGUGAAAGGCAUGAAAAAUACUGAGAAAAGGGCUUUGUGUGCAAUAUUAAAUUACAUGUACUUAGUUAAACAUGAAAAUGUAUAAAAUAUGAAUGUAAUAAAGAAGAAAUAUACAUGUA